rnacentral:lncRNA from 1 species
GUAGAGGGGCAUUAUGUUUUCUGGUCUGUGCCUCCGUUCGUCUGUGCGUCCGUCCGUCCGUUCGUCCCACUUCAGGUUAAAGUUUUUGGUCAAGGUAGUUUUUGAUGAAGCUGAAGUCCAAUCAACUUGAAACUUAGUACACAUGUUCCUUAUGAUAUGAUCUUUCUUAUUUUAAAACAAAAUUAAACUUUUGACCCCAUUUUCAUGGUCCACUGAACAUAGAAAUUAAAAGUGCGAGUUUCAGGUUAAAGUUUU